GGCAAACAGGCGGCUUCUGGACCAUGUGACCUUCUACAUGAAUAAUACGGAUAGAUUGAUGUGACAUCAUUUAGGCGCCACAGACCAACAUCUGGAUUCUGUGAUGCACGCGGUGUGGUAAAGGAAUAUAUGGUGGAACGCCGCCGGAAGCCCCGAACCCGGAAGCCGCGGAACGCGGCACUACAGCGUCUCCUGCUAUCCUGGACUUGCUGUUUGGACCCUUUGCUCCUGUCCUCUCCCUGGCCUAGCGACGGUUGUCUGCAUACAACAUCACCAACGAUUAGCAGGACUCUCCUGAGGGAACCGCCGCCGAGCGGCCUGCCACUAAGUCAGCCAGUGGAUUAAGCAAGUUCUAUGGACACCAGACAGACGUGAAUUCUGUCCGUCUGUCAUUAUUACAAGCCUAUACUACCGGACACUCAUCCCACCAGCCCUGUAUUGGUGAAGUAUAAACAGGCUCUAUCAAGCAUUAACCAGCUUUUUUUAACCUACAAUUGAGCUCAAUAUGCUUUAACCCUUUAUAGCCACUAACAGCCGGCUUAUGCAUGCAAAAAAAUAUAACAUCUAAUAGGCUUUGUGUAUAAUUGCCAGCAAGUCCAGAGACUUAGGACACAGUCCUUUAUUUUAUAUAUAUUUCUUAUUUUUAUUUUA